rnacentral:ncRNA from 1 species
CGGUGGACAGAUUUGACUGCUUGCAACCACGCUAAAAAAUGCUAAAAC